rnacentral:rRNA from 1 species
UACGUAGGGGGCAAGCGUUGUCCGGAUUUAUUGGGCGUAAAGAGCGUGUAGGCGGCCAUACAGGUCCGUUGUGAAAACUGGAGGCUCAACCUCCAGACGUCGACGGAAACCGUAUGGCUAGAGUCCGGAAGAGGAGAGUGGAAUUCCUGGUGUAGCGGUGAAAUGCGCAGAUAUCAGGAAGAACACCCGUGGCGAAGGCGGCUCUCUGGGACGGUACUGACGCUGAGGUGCGAAAGCGUGGGGAGCAAACAGG